ACUUCGUUUCGAAUCGGGCAGGGAAGCGUGCCGUCAUCUGCUGCAGUGCGCCCGCACCGCUGAUGGUCACUUUCUUCCGCUUACCGCCGCCGAACUGGCGACGCGGAUGCAGGCUGGAGGCUUCUCAGUGACGACGUUGGACGCUGAAGCCCUGCUACGCGAACUCGCCGCCGACGGCGAAGUGGCCGAGAUCGACGAGUUGG
rnacentral:misc_RNA from 1 species